GUGCCUAUACAUGCAGUCGAACGCGUUGGCCCAAUUGAUUGAUGGUGCUUGCACCUGAUUGAUUUUGGUCGCCAACGAGUGGCGGACGGGUGAGUAACACGUAGGUAACCUGCCCAGAAGCGGGGGACAACAUUUGGAAACAGAUGCUAAUACCGCAUAACAACGUUGUUCGCAUGAACAACGCUUAAAAGAUGGCUUCUCGCUAUCACUUCUGGAUGGACCUGCGGUGCAUUAGCUUGUUGGUGGGGUAAUGGCCUACCAAGGCGAUGAUGCAUAGCCGAGUUGAGAGACUGAUCGGCCACAAUGGGACUGAGACACGGCCCAUACUCCUACGGGAGGCAGCAGUAGGGAAUCUUCCACAAUGGGCGCAAGCCUGAUGGAGCAACACCGCGUGAGUGAAGAAGGGUUUCGGCUCGUAAAGCUCUGUUGUUAAAGAAGAACACGUAUGAGAGUAACUGUUCAUACGUUGACGGUAUUUAACCAGAAAGUCACGGCUAACUACGUGCCAGCAGCCGCGGUAAUACGUAGGUGGCAAGCGUUAUCCGGAUUUAUUGGGCGUAAAGAGAGUGCAGGCGGUUUUCUAAGUCUGAUGUGAAAGCCUUCGGCUUAACCGGAGAAGUGCAUCGGAAACUGGAUAACUUGAGUGCAGAAGAGGGUAGUGGAACUCCAUGUGUAGCGGUGGAAUGCGUAGAUAUAUGGAAGAACACCAGUGGCGAAGGCGGCUACCUGGUCUGCAACUGACGCUGAGACUCGAAAGCAUGGGUAGCGAACAGGAUUAGAUACCCUGGUAGUCCAUGCCGUAAACGAUGAGUGCUAGGUGUUGGAGGGUUUCCGCCCUUCAGUGCCGGAGCUAACGCAUUAAGCACUCCGCCUGGGGAGUACGACCGCAAGGUUGAAACUCAAAGGAAUUGACGGGGCCCGCACAGCGGUGGAGCAU
rnacentral:rRNA from 1 species